GACAGAGGCCCCGAGCGUUAGGCGGAAUCACUGGGCUUAAAGCGCGUGUAGGCGGUGGGCUAAGUACCUUGUGAAAUCCCCGGGCUCAACCCGGGAACGGCUCGGUAUACUGUCCUUCUUGAGGCAUCUAGGGGCGAGCGGAACAAACGGUGGAGCGGUGAAAUGCGUAGAUAUCGUUUGGAACGCCAACGGAGAAAUCAGCUCGCUGGGGAUGUCCUGACGCUGAGACGCGAAAGCCAGGGGAGCGAACGGG
rnacentral:rRNA from 1 species